GGUUGUGGCUCAGUGGUAGACUGCUUGCCUAGCAUAUGUGAGCCCCUGGGUUCAAUUCUCAGCACCA
rnacentral:tRNA from 1 species